rnacentral:rRNA from 1 species
UACGAAGGGGGCUAGCGUUGCUCGGAAUCACUGGGCGUAAAGGGUGCGUAGGCGGGUCUUUAAGUCAGGGGUGAAAUCCUGGAGCUCAACUCCAGAACUGCCUUUGAUACUGAAGAUCUUGAGUUCGGGAGAGGUGAGUGGAACUGCGAGUGUAGAGGUGAAAUUCGUAGAUAUUCGGAAGAACACCAGUGGCGAAAGGCGGCUCACUGGUCCGGUACUGACGCUGAUGUGCGAAAGCGUGGGGAGCAAACAGG